CAUGGAUAACUGUGGUAAUUCUAGAGCUAAUACAUGCACAAAAAGCACGACUCUCUACUGAGAAGUGCUGCGUUUAUUAGACCAAGACCAAUGGGUGCUUGCACCCUCAAAACUGUGGUGACUCUGGAUAACUAAUGGCGUAAAAACCAUGAUGCUGACCCUAUGGCCCGUGGGCAACCACACAGCGCCGAGGGCAAAUCAUUCGAGUGUCUGAUCUAUCAACUGUCGAUGGUAAAUUAUAUGUUUACCAUGGUUAUAACGGGUAACGGGGAGUUAGGGCUCGACUCCGGAGAGCAAGCCUGAGAAACGGCUAGCACAUCCAAGGAAGGCAGCAGGCGCGCAAAUUACUCUAAUGGUCGCCGACCGAAGUAGUGAAGAUAAAUAACGAUGUAGGUUCUUAUUAUAGGAUCUACAAUUGGAAUGAGUACACCGUAAAUACGUUAACGAGUACCAAUUGGAGGGCAAGUCUGGUGCCAGCAGCCGCGGUAAUUCCAGCUCCAAUAGCGUAUAUUAAAGUUGCUGCGGUUAAAAAGCUCGUAGUUGGAUUUCAGACCUUUUGCUAGCAAAGCUUCACUAUCAACGUUUAUCGGUUGUAUGUACGCAAGUGCCUCUGCAAUCAUAAUCGGGUGUUAGCUCAUUGCUAGCUGGUCGGUUCGUCACUUUUUAUUAAAGGACGGAGCAAGCUGUAUCAUGUUUCUGGAUGUUUGGAUAUUUUUAUAUCCUCUCACUCCUAGUGGUCAGCAAGUUUACCUUGAGAAAAUUAGAGUGCUCAAAGCAGACACCGCGGGUCGAAAGGCUUGCAUUUAUGUCUGAAUAAUGUUGCAUGGAAUAAUAGAAUAUGGCCUCGGUUCUAUUCUGUUGGUCUUGUAGAACAACAAACAAGUUCACGUGUUCAAAUCAUGUUGCUAGCAUGGUGGAUUACUGCUCUUACGCUUUUGGUUUAUCAACUUGCCUAGUGUUAUCAUGCUCUUCGGGUAUGCAUCGCGGGUAGUUGUAAGCUUUUGAAAAGGCAUAAAAGCGUACUCCCGAAUGUGAAAGCCAUGUUAGUCAACACGAACACGUGAAUCGAGGCAAUGGUUAAUAGGGACAGACGGGGGCAUUCGUACUGCUUCGCUAGAGGUGAAAUUCUUAGACCGAAGCAAGACGAACUAAAGCGAAAGCAUUUGCCUAGAAUGUUCUCAUUAAUCAAGAACGAAAGUUAGAGGUUCGAAGGCGAUCAGAUACCGCCCUAGUUCUAACCAUAAACGAUGCCAACUAGCAAUCAGGCUGAGUUUUUUAAAAUACAAAUGACUCGCCUGGCGGCUUCGCGGGAAACCAAAGUUUUUCGGUUCCGGGGGAAGUAUGAUUGCAAAGUUGAAACUUAAAGGAAUUGACGGAAGGGCACCACCAGGGGUGGAGCCUGCGGCUUAAUUUGACUCAACACGGGGAAACUUACUAGAUUAGAACGCUGGAAUGAUUGACAGAUUAAAAGCUCUUUCUUGAUUCAGCGAGUGGUGGUGCAUGGCCGUUCUUGAUUCGUAGAAUGAUUCGUCUGCUUAAUUGCGAUAACGAGUGAGACCUCGACCUACUAACUAGUUUGCUUCAUCAUUUGGGAUAUCAAACGCCUUGCGUAUUUAGUGCCCGAUGGCGUGUGUGAAAGCAUGCGUUCGUUUGGUAUGUUGGUACGUAGGGUAGGCCCUCUGCUGGAGCAAGACUUCUUAGCGGGAUAAACGGUGUUUUAGCCGUAAUAAAUGAGGCAAUAACAGGUCUGUGAUGCCCUUAGAUACUCUAGGCCGCACGCGUGCUACACUGGUAGAGGCAGCAUGCUUAAUUUGAACAAUUGCCUCGAAGUUCUACCUUGCUUCGUAUGUGGCUCUCUGUGUGAGGGUGAAAGCCUGAGCAUAGGGGACGCGUGCGCUUGCUUUGGUGUGAGUCGGGGAUUUAUUGUUUGAAAAAACCUUGGCUGAAAAGCCUGGGCAAUCCUAUCAAACUUUACCGUGAUUUGGGAUUGGGAAUUGCAAUUGUUUUCCAUGAACGAGGAAUCCCCAGUAAGCGCAAU
rnacentral:rRNA from 1 species